AGAGUUUGAUCAUGGCUCAGGAUGAACGCUGGCGGCGUGCAUAACACAUUCAAGUCGAACGAAGCACUUUGGUUGGAGACUUCGGUCAAAGACCGAUUUGACUUAGUGGCGGACGGGUGAGUAACGCGUGAGCAACCUGCCUUUCAUUACGGGAUAACGGCUGGAAACGGACGCUAAUACCGUAUAACAUACACGAGUCGCAUGGCUUGUGUAUCAAAGAUUUAUUGAUGAAAGAUGGGCUCGCGUCUGAUUAGAUAGUUGGUGAGGUAACGGCUCACCAAGUCGACGAUCGGUAGCCGGACUGAGAGGUUGAACGGCCACAUUGGAACUGAGAUACGGUCCAGACUCCUACGGGAGGCAGCAGUGGGGAAUAUUGGGCAAUGGGCGAAAGCCUGACCCAGCGACGCCGCGUGCGGGAAGACGGCCUUCGGGUUGUAAACCGCUGUAGACAGGGACGAAGAAAGUGACGGUACCUGUAAAGUAAGCCACGGCUAACUACGUGCCAGCCGCCGCGGUAAUAC
rnacentral:rRNA from 1 species